GAUGAACGCUGGCGGCGUGCCUAAUACAUGCAAGUCGAGCGAACGGACGAGAAGCUUGCUUCUCUGAUGUUAGCGGCGGAUGGGUGAGUAACACGUGGAUAACCUACCUAUAAGACUGGGAUAACUUCGGGAAACCGGAGCUAAUACCGGAUGAUAUUUUGAACCGCAUGGUUCAAAAGUGAAAGCCGGUCUUGCUGUCACUUAUAGAUGGAUCCGCGCUGCAUUAGCUAGUUGGUAAGGUAACGGCUUACCAAGGCAACGAUGCAUAGCCGACCUGAGAGGGUGAUCGGCCACACUGGAACUGAGACACGGUCCAGACUCCUACGGGAGGCAGCAGUAGGGGAUCUUCCGCAAUGGGCGAAAGCCUGACGGAGCAACGCCGCGUGAGUGAUGAAGGUCUUCGGAUCGUAAAACACUGUUAUUAGGGAAGAACAUAUGUGUAAGUAACUGUGCACAUCUUGACGGUACCUAAUCAGAAAGCCACGGCUAACUACGUG
rnacentral:rRNA from 1 species